rnacentral:lncRNA from 1 species
CCCGGAGUCUCUGGAAUGAGCCCUGGACUUGGUGUCAAGGACCCUGUGAUCUGUUCUCGAUUUUGCCACUCACUGGCUCUCCCUGACUUUCUUCGUCUAUAAAAUGGGUGUACCAGCUCCCUGCAGGGUGGUCCUGGGCCACUGUGACAAGGGCACGGAUGUGCCUGUAAAAUCAUGAAGUGCUGUGCAAAUGGUAAGUGGUGAAAUCAUUAUCACGCUCAUCCUCCACCAGUUGUCAGCGCCUGUGAGGUGGGGAUCCUCCAAGAGGACCAGGAAAACUGGAUAAAAGUGUCCAGCUGGUAAGAGAAGAGUCAGCUGUAGUGCCCGAUUCUCUGGUAUUGGCUGCCCAGGGGGAGAGCAGUUGAGAUGAGCUCUCCCGGUGGGUAAUAAAAUGAGUCUACGUAGGGAGGAAGCAGGAUGUAUAAAGCCCAGGAGCCUGAUCUGUUUCUGAGAUCAAACAGAGCAGCAUUGUACCGGGGUGUGGAGCUGAUGUCAGCGUCUAGAAUGCUGGUCGGAAUCGCCCUGGUUACGCAGCUGGACCGGAAUAAGGCAAGUUGCUCCUUUCCAACGUUUGUACUCGAGCAUUAUCUGGGUGAGAAGACCCUGGUACCACCAGCUCAGAGGAAUAUCUCCACACCUGACAGAUGGCUUGCUUGUCCAAACUCAUCGUUUUUUUAUCUUCAGAUACACACAGCCCAACUUGGGAAUGAAGACAGAAUAACAUAAAUGUCCCUCAAGACCAAAAGUCUCAACCAACAACCCCAUAACCUAGCAGACCCCCAGAAACUCGGAUCCAAAAUGACCAAGCAAUGGCAGUGGAAAAACCCGUGUGAGAAAAUCUGCCAUGAGGAGGGUAUCCAGCUGGAUAAACCCCAAUUCCCCAACCCCCCUUUCUCUGCUACCUCCAGUGGCCAAGUCAUCUCCCAGUGUCAGUGUGCCCCUCCGAGGUGACCACCACCUCCUGUCCCUCUAAUGACUAAAAUGACAAACAUCAGCUUAAUGCUCACUCUGUCCAUGAAACUGAGGUUUCUAUAUCCGGGUUCCUGGAAUGGACUUCCUUUUUCCUUUUUCCCCUUUCUUCCUUCCUUCCUUCCUUUUUUUCUCUCUUCCUCUCUUCCCUUUCUUUCUUUCUUUCUUUCUUUCUUUCUUGUCUUUUUUUUGGUCCUAGGCACCCUGUCAUUUUUCUAAAAUGGAGAAAAGGGGGGAAAAAAGAGAAGCAAACGAACCUUCCCCGCGGCGAUGUGAGUGACUGCUAUGUUUCCAUGGCUCGCUUUCCACUGUUCUCUGUGACCCCUGCAGACUCCCCUUAUGAGUGAGUGUCCCGGAAUGUCUCUUUAUUAGGUGUCUGGAGAAGUAAAGCUGUCCUGAUGCCAGUGCCCCCACACUGAGGACUUUAUUAGUUUUUUAAUUUUCUGUCUGGGUGCUCCUGCUGCAUCAAACUUUCCACAGCUGUUAGGAGCCAUUAAGUAAGUAGCUUCAUCGGCCCUUUCCCCACCCUACCCCCUCCUUAAUAGCAGGAGAAAUUUCUGGACAUGCUACGUGGAGCUUUUAAAAUAAAGAUGCUUUGUCUCUCUGGUGAGAAAUCGCU